GCUCCCACAAACAAACAAACAAACAAACACGCAAACAAACCAAUUAAACAAAGUACCUAUCGUUGUGCUCUCACCCAGAGCCAUGGCAACACUACAGUCUUUGUUGUUGUGUUCUCAGCAGUAAGGCCACGUUAUGACGUGCUGCCCGGGCGGGGCAGAAGGGCAGCUGCCUCCGCUGGAAUCACGCGUGGCAGUUGCAAACGACCGUCCUGAUCGGCUCCUUGUAGUAAUUAUCUUAAUGGGCUCAUUCAAAACCUCUUCAUUGUGGAAUCAGUUAAUUAAUUAGUUGUUGCACUGACAGGAUAAUGGCGAGAGCAUGCUAAAUAGAUUAGUCUGGAACUUGAUUUAUUGUAGCAGAGCACCCCACCACCACCACAACCACCACCACCACAACCACCACCACCCCCACCAACACCAUUAUCACCACCAUCAGCACCUCCACCACACGAACACCACCUCCAUCAUCACCACUACCACACCACCUCCACCACCAUCACAACCACCACCACCACCAUCACAACCACCACCACCACAACCACAACCACCAUCACCACCACAACCACCACCACCACCACCACCACUACCAUCACCUCCACCACCACCACCACCACCACCACCAGUACUAUCACCAACACCACCAUCACCACCAUCAUCACCACCACCACCACCACUACAAUCACCAACACCACCAUCACCACCACCAUCACCACAACCAUCACCACCUCCACCACCUCCACCACCACAGCCACCACCACCACCACCACCUCCACCAACACCACCACCACCACCACCACCACCACCACUACUAUCACCAACACCACCAUCACCACCAUCAUCACCACUACCACCAUCACCACAACCACCACCACCUCCACCACCAUCACCACCACCAACAUCACCACAACCACCACCAACUCCACUACCACCACCACCACCACCAUCACCUCCACCCUCACCUCACCACCACCACCACCCCAUCACCUCCACCACCGUCUCACCACUACCACCACCACUACCAACCUCU
rnacentral:lncRNA from 1 species